rnacentral:rRNA from 1 species
UACGUAGGCAGCGAGCGUUGUUCGGAGUUACUGGGCGUAAAGCGUGCGUAGGCGGUGUCUUAAGUUUGUUGUGAAAUCUCCCGGCUUAACCGGGAGGGUGCGGCGAAUACUGAGAUGCUGGAGUGCCGGAGAGGUAAGCGGAAUUCCUGGUGUAGCGGUGAAAUGCGUAGAUAUCAGGAGGAACACCUGCGGUGUAGACGGCUUACUGGACGGUAACUGACGCUGAGGCACGAAAAGCGUGGGUAGCAAACAGG